GACGAACGCUGGCGGCGUGCUUAACACAUGCAAGUCGAACGGAAAGGCCCUGCUUUUGUGGGGUGCUCGAGUGGCGGACGGGUGAGUAACACGUGAGUAACCUGCCCUUGACUUUGGGAUAACUUCAGGAAACUGGGGCUAAUACCGGAUAGGAGCUCCUGCUGCAUGGUGGGGGUUGGAAAGUUUCGGCGGUUGGGGAUGGACUCGCGGCUUAUCAGCUUGUUGGUGGGGUAGCGGCUUACCAAGGCUUUGACGGGUAGCCGGCCUGAGAGGGUGACCGGCCACAUUGGGACUGAGAUACGGCCCAGACUCCUACGGGAGGCAGCAGUGGGGAAUAUUGCACAAUGGGCGGAAGCCUGAUGCAGCAACGCCGCGUGCGGGAUGACGGCCUUCGGGUUGUAAACCGCUUUCGCCUGUGACGAAGCGUGAGUGACGGUAAUGGGUAAAGAAGCACCGGCUAACUACGUG
rnacentral:rRNA from 1 species